GUGUUUCUUAGCGAGUCCGAGGUGGUGGAAGUCGGAUGAAACUGAAAUGAGUUGCUGGCGCUUUCACUUAGCUAGGCUAAGUUAAAAUCAAAUAAAUGAAGUAAUAAAAUAGGGUGGAACCGCGUUUUAACG
rfam:Streptococcus lutetiensis 033, complete genome.